UACGGAGGGUGCGAGCGUUGUCCGGAAUCACUGGGCGUAAAGGGCGCGUAGGCGGCGCGGGUAGUCAUCGGUGAAAGUUCAGGGCUCAACUCUGAAUCGGCCGGUGAUACUCCCGUGCUCGAGCACUGUAGAGGCAGGUGGAAUUCCGGGUGUAGCGGUGGAAUGCGUAGAGAUCCGGAAGAACACCGGUGGCGAAGGCGGCCUGCUGGGCAGUGGCUGACACUGGGGCGCGACAGCGUGGGGAGCAAACAGG
rnacentral:rRNA from 1 species